rnacentral:rRNA from 1 species
ACAUUCACUUUAAAUAGGGCACCGUCUAAAUCCGUUGAGAAGACACCGUAUGAAUUAUGGUUUGGGAAGAAACCUAAGCUGUCGUUUCUAAAAGUUUGGGGGUGCUAUGCUUAUGUCAAGAAACUUCAACCUGAAAAGCUCGAACCCAAGUCGGAAAAAUGCGUCUUCAUAGGAUACCCUAAGGAAACCAUUGGGUAUACCUUCUACCUUAGAUCUGAAGGCAAGAUCUUUGUUGCCAAGAACGGAUCCUUUCUGGAAAAAGAGUUUCUCUCGAAAGGAGUAAGUGGGAGGAAAGUAGAACUUGAUGAAGUACUACCUCUUGAAGCGGAAAGUAGUGCAACUCAGGAAAAUGUUCCUGUGGUGCCUACAUCCACUGAAGAGGAAAUUAAU